AGUUAAAACCGAAAUGAGCAACAAACGAGGUGACGUGCGUUAUCAGUUUUGUCUUCCAUGUCUUCCUCAUCCUGCUGUUUGCUCCACGGCUCUUGACAGGAUGGAGACGAGGAAAGAACUUCCACAUCCACAUUCAAAACGUCUGCCAGAACUCCCUCAGGCAAUUACUUUAAAACAUGAAAGAAAUUGCAUCUUUUCCUUAAGGGCAAGAUGGUGCUGUAGGCUUUCCUCUCUCCUGAUGAGAUGAUGCAACUGGACUCCAUAGAGAAAUGCUGCCCGUGUAACAAUGCAGUUACACAACCCGGUGCAUGACGCAUGAAUUACAGCACACCUGAGAUCCUGAUGAAAUCCUGGGAGCCUGGAGCUGUCAAACAUGGUUUUAAAAAAAUAAAGGGAAUACACCCAGCCCACACCCUGACUUUACAACCUUUAAUUAAUUAGGGGAAAGAAAGAGA
rnacentral:lncRNA from 1 species